rnacentral:rRNA from 1 species
GUCCUACGGGGCGCAGCAGUGGGGAAUAUUGCACAAUGGGGGAAACCCUGAUGCAGCGACGCCGCGUGAGCGAAGAAGUAUUUCGGUAUGUAAAGCUCUAUCAGCAGGGAAGAAAAUGACGGUACCUGAGUAAGAAGCUCCGGCUAAAUACGUGCCAGCAGCCGCGGUAAUACGUAUGGAGCAAGCGUUAUCCGGAUUUACUGGGUGUAAAGGGAGCGUAGGCGGCAAGGUAAGCCAGAAGUGAAAGCCCGCGGCUCAACUGCGGGACUGCUUUUGGAACUAUCUAGCUAGAUUGCAGGAGAGGG